GACGUAGGGUGCGAGCGUUGUCCGGAAUUAUUGGGCGUAAAGGGCUCGUAGGCGGUUUGUCGCGUCGGGAGUGAAAACACUGGGCUUAACUCAGAGCUUGCUUCCGAUACGGGCAGACUAGAGGUAUGCAGGGGAGAACGGAAUUCCUGGUGUAGCGGUGAAAUGCGCAGAUAUCAGGAGGAACACCGGUGGCGAAGGCGGUGCUCUGGGCAUUGCCUGACGCUGAGGAGCGAAAGUGUGGGGAGCGAACAGG
rnacentral:rRNA from 1 species